CCAAUAGCGUAUAUUAAAGUUGUUGCAGUUAAAAAGCUCGUAGCUGAAUUUCGGGACCAAUAUGUCGGUCGUGCUUCGGUACGUACUUGCAUUAUUGGUUUCUCCCUUCUGAAGAACCAUGAUGUCAUUAAUUUGGUGUCUUGGGAAAUCAGGACUGUUACUUUGAAAAAAUUAGAGUGUUUAAAGCAGGCUCACGCUUGAAUACAUUAGCAUGGAAUAAUGAAAUAGGACGUUUGAUUCUAUUUUGUUGGUUUCUAGGAUCGACGUAAUGAUUAAUAGGGAUAGUUGGGGGCAUUAGUAUUCAAUUGUCAGAGGUGAAAUUCUUGGAUUUAUUGAAGACUAACUACUGCGAAAGCAUUUGCCAAGGAUGUUUUCAUUAAUCAAGAACGAAAGUUAGGGGAUCGAAGACGAUCAGAUACCGUCGUAGUCUUAACCAUAAACUAUGCCGACUAGGGAUCGGAUGAUGUUAAUUUUUUAAUGACUCAUUCGGCGCCUUACG
rnacentral:rRNA from 1 species